UUGUAGAAGAGGUGAGAGUUGUCCUGCAGCCUGCAGCAAUCUAACAAAAAACAGAUAAGAGAGAGGGGUGUAAUUUCUCAACAGCAACAUGCAAUGCUCCGGGUAUCCCUCCUCCCUCAUUUCAGUUUAACGCUAAAUGAACAACCAAUACCAAUUACAAUAAUGCGAGUACAUUAACCUUUAACGAGGCAAUAAACAAUACGUCCAAAAAAAAAAAAAAAACGUCACAAAGACUGGUGUGCCAAUGUUGUACAAAGAUCACCCUCAGGAAUGGUAAACCGUCUCAGACCUUUCCCACUGAAUCAACGAGUCGAGAUUUUGCUGCAUCAUCCUCAGGGUGUUUUCGGCCUCCUGCGAGGGGAAAAAAAUGGACAACAUACAGGGAGCGAGUAAGAAAGGGGCAGAAAGAAAAACAAAUGCUAUGACCAAAAACACAGCGAAAAGCAGCAUUCAACUUACAAGAUCGUGGGAAGA